AAAUACAAGAGAAAAGUGGGAGGGUAGAGAAACCCUAGAGCAGGAAUGAAGUGGAAUGGACCAGGGGGAAAAGGGAGUAACUGGAUAUUGAAACAUUUGUUUGCCAUUUUGUUUCAGAAAGGGAGACCCCUAUAAGAAAAAAAGGUGUGGAGUAACUGAUCUAGAAUAUCAGCAUAGGCAGAACUAGACUGCUUAGUGGUUAACUGAGUGGUCUUGAGUCAUGCAGUUACACCAAACUCAGACCAAUGGAAACUUUUAGACCAUAUGUCGAAAUGUUCCUUAUAAAAUCUGAACUUUCAAACAGUGACCAAAAAUUCUGUUUUUAAAUUUGUUGAGGAACCUUAGAUCAAGAUGCUAUGCUUUGAUUGUGAAUUCUUUCAGGACACUUUACUAAAAAGUUGGAUAGAGUUUAAGCUAGCAGGUCUUACGGGCCUGAAAAAAGCAAUGGCUUUUCUCUUGUGGUUCCUCGGACAUUUCUUUUCUUUUUUCUUUUUUUUGCAGAUAUUAUCACUGCCUGUCUAAUUUAGGACUGAGGGGGAGAGGAAGAAGUUGUUGCUGAUAGUGUUAGCUGUGACAAAAUAAAACAGAUGUCACAGGAGGAGAGUAAGAAGGGACCACAUCUCAAGGUAGCAAAAGAAGCAGCUAAAUUUUAAGAAUCUUGGCUGCCCUGGGCUUUGAAACCUUUUUUCAGUUAAGUGGUGCAGUCACUACCGUGUUCUGUAUUGUCUCCUGUUGCAUUACCCAGCACUUCACUUUCACAGGCAGGUUCUAAUAAAAGCUAACCUUACUUAGCAUGUCUUUUUGUCAGGAUCUGAGUCCCUGUUUCCAUGGCUUGUUCAUUCUGUGGAAGAGACAGAGAUGGCCGUAACCUUGCCUGAGCAGUAUCUCUCGGGGUUUGUUAGUCGUUUUUCCUGGCUGUGUGAAAUCAGUCCAAAUUCAAAGAGUUGCCUCUCCAAGUAUGUGAAUUCUGGUAUCUCAGACUGGGCAAGCAGUGACUAUUACCUCAGUCAAGCGAAUACGGCUUCUGUGACUCAGCUGGAGUUACAGUUGCGGGAGGAGUGUGCCAGCCAGAGAGAAGACAGCGUCUAAAGCUCGUGGCCUGAAGGCAACUAUUGACUACAUAGCUUACUUGGGAUAAAAUGCUACGGAAGACUAAAACACCUCUAUUGGGAACAGUUUUUCUGCAAAAUGGUCCUUUAGUAGAAGUCAGACAUCUGUGUUCGUUUGGAAGCUGCGAAAUACCAGUCCCUGAACAAAUGGGGAAAUGUCUCAGAGAAGUUUCUGGUAGCGUUUGGGGCUGGAAAGGCUCAAAUGGCUGUAUUUUCAGUUUUGAAGAGUGCAGGAAUGCCUUGUGAGCGCUGUUUGCAGCAGGUUUAGACAUCCUCAGGCUUUGAUACUAGGGCAGCUGAGGUCAAUUAAACCUCCAUCUCGGAGCCUCAAGCACCACUCUCCGUAGAAACAAAGAAAUGCUAGCUUCUGUAAGCAGCUGGGCAGAGAAGUCUGAUGGGUGACGGAGUAAGAGGCUGCUGUGAAUAUGGACCCUACUGCGCAUCCACACCGCUGAAGAGGAUUCGUUCUAUUCUUCAGUGAGGCUUCCAGACACCUAUCGAACUGCCAAACAAGUCGAGGGUUCAAUGAACAGAGCUUUAAAGAACAACCAAAAUUAGCACCAGGAAUGCAGUUCAGCAGAGAAGUAGCACAGUGCUCCGUAACACAUGCGGAUCAAAGCGCUACGAAGGGCUCUACCUUUCCAAGGAGCACGAAAGAGAGGCCAAGCAAACAGCAGAGGAACACUGCAGUUCAGCUGAGUGGAGGAUAGAGCAGAACUCCGCAAAAUCUGAAGCAGUGAAGCCACAAGAAGCCUGCUUGUGUAUACUACCCUCAGAAGACGAGCAACUUAUUGCUACCAGCUUGACUUCACCGCUCAAACGAUGAACCAGCCAAAAAACACAGAGUACAUCUGUACAUCUUCAGUGGAGAACAUUUGCUCGGCACGCAACAUUUAGCGAAGCUGCUUACGUGUGCAUAUAUGGAGUCAAGAGCACACUUCUCCUUCAGUGGAAGUAACAUUCCUACCACUCUGAUACUCCAUGUUAUAAAUUGCAUGUGGACGGAGAGACAGCUCAUUCUCUACUAUGGAAAAUGAAAACAGAGAAACUCCGACAAAAGCAGGUCAGUGUAGGCGAGGCAGCCAUCCUUAGAUCGGACAACGUCCAAGAAACCAAACAUUCCCCAGCGUUUAACUGUCUCGUGAACCUCGGUUGUUUUCUGGUCCUAAGUUUUGUGCAUUCCCUCAGGCUUUCAUUCAAAUAUGGACCAUCCUGAACUACUUUCAACUAAAGUUCAGUUUGCAUCAAGACACCUGGGCUUCAGGUUCUCCUGAAACAGAAGGGCCCCAUUCUGCCCAAGUCUGAAGAAGAUUUCUGGAUAGCAAGUGAUCAAUUAGAAAAUUAUGGAAAAAUUCACAGCUGUACAGUACAACGAAAAGCUAAAUUGUAAGACACAGGAGUGCAACCUGAGGAGCAAAUCUGUGGCCACUUUUUUUCAAAGCUGUUAAAUCAACUGCUGGCUGACAGGAGAGAGAACAUUUUACGUAUUCCAGGAUUUUUAAGUGAGAGGGAACAUUCUUCCAGAGCACUUAGAAAAGGCGAAAAACAGGUCCAGCAUCUCAUCUUUGCUGAUAGCUGAUGUUCCCAGGGGGUUACCACACGAUAUUGCCUCUACCGGACUAAAACCUCUGCACAAAGAGCUGGGCUAUUCCUUCCCCAAAAUCUGGCGCUUCCGACCCACAGAGACUAGACUGCUCUCUCUGGACUAACACACAACGGCUAUUUCUAGCACAAAACUUUGUCCCUCUGCGGACGUUGGUGAGAAUCGUCAGCCACCUGAUGCCCCACAGGGAAAUGCCCAGGUGCCACCGAGCAGCGCUCUGGGGAACGAGCUUCGGCUCACAGGAACUUGGCUGACACGUGGGAGCAGCUCGUCAGUGUUAAGAAAAAGGAGGACAGGGGGGGAAAAAAGAAAGCAACAAACGACCACCUGUAAGAAGGCCUCCUCGCGAGCCCCCAAAGCCAGAGCUGCUGUGGGAAACCCAGGUCCCUGCUGCCUCUUCCCACCACCAGGGAAUUUGGCAGCAGCGAGGACUGGGGGUGGCAGGAGUCAAGGGUGGUCUCCGAGCGCCCUGGUGCCGUCGGGCAACGUCUGUCCCCGGCCGGGGCAGUCAGGAGCCAUGUUGCUCCAGAGGCAGCGCCGGAGCCGAGGACGGAAACAAUGGUGGGAGGCAUCUGGCAGAGGACCUGAGGGGAAAAAUCCUCCUGUGGUAGCAACUGCAUGGGCCACUUCCCCGGGACUGCUCCGACACGCUAACGGCGCUGACGCGAGCAGCACGAAGAGACCACACACAUCAAGGAGCCGGGCACAGGGAAAACCAGAAGUCUCCAGCCCGCAUCGUCCGUCCCCACCUUUGCCAGACGCCAAGCAGAGGAAUUAAGAGGCGACUCCCCAGCAUCACGCGGCCAUGAGCGGGGCGCUGGGGACGUCCCCAGGCUGCACGCCACCCGGACCGGUCCCAAGCUCACGCGAGGAGCUGGAGACGCGACGUGCGGGGAGUCACGGGGCAGGCUUUGUAGGGGCACAGGGAAAACUGACAGUCACAACUCGGACAUGGAAAGUCAUGCUCUCUGCAGAAGACGGUAGGCACGAGAGGGUUAAAAAUGCCACGUCUGCAAGGCCUGAACUUGUGCAGGCUCUGAACUGGCUCCCGCAUUUUCCAGGAUACCCUUCAGUCAUGCCAGCUGACAUACAGAGGAAUUCAGACAGUUGGAAUAAAAGGGCAUAAAACACAAUUGCAAUUAAAAAGGUUCCAGUAACAGCAGUACUGGCGUAUUCCUCUCCGGGUUUUGGAGAGGUUUGGGAUGACUGCCGUUUCCGCGUCUGCACGCUGCAAGCCUCGGGCACAACAGGGGGUGGCGAGGACGGGCUGCUGUUUACUGAGGUUUUAACAAGCCAGAAUUAACACCUUAGAAAAGAGCACCAAGAUUCAAGCAGCCAAUUUAAAUAUCAGCAUCGUGGCAGGAUUAGCAUCUCUGAAAGUGGGCAUGCACGGCUGCAAAAUAUUAAAAGUACUGAAAAUAAAGCCCCAUGAGCAGUGCGCGGGGGGCACCGGGAGGCCCUGGGGUGUCCCCGCGUGUCCCCACGGGAUUGAGCCGGGCUCACCUUGCU